UCCAGUAACACGUCGAUAAUCUGCCCUUAGGAUGAGGAUACCCACGGAAAACUGUGGCUAAUACUCUAUACUGAAAGGAUUCUGGAACGAACUUUUCGUUAAACGCAAGGCCUAAGGAUGAGUCGGCGGCGGAUUAGGCAGAUGGCGGUGUAACGGACCACCAUACCUUAGAUCCGUAGGGGCCCUGAGAGGGGUAGCCCCGAGAGGGACACUGAAAUACUGGUCCCAGCUCCACGGAGUGCAGCAGGCGCGUAACCUCCACAAUGCGCGAAAGCGUGAUGGGGGGAUUCUGAGUGCUUACACGUAAGUGUAAGCUUUUGCCAAGGGCAAAUACCUUGGAGAAUAAGUGGUGGGUAAGACCGGUGCCAGCAGCCGCGGUAACCCCGGCGCCACGAGUGGCAAUCUUAUAUUGGGUCUAAAGCAUUCGUAGCCGGUUUGAAAAAUCCUUUGUGAAAUCGUUGAACUCAAUACAACGGCAUGCAGGGGACACUUUCAAGCUAGAGACUGGGAGGAGUAGGGGGUAUGCCUAGGGGAGCGGUUAAAUGUGAUAAUCCUAGGCAGACUACCUGUGGCGAAGGCGCCCUACUAGAACAGUUCUGACGGUGAGGGAUGAAAGCUAGGGGAGCGAUCCGGAUUAGAUACCCGAGUAGUCCUAGCUGUAAACGCUGUGAGCUAGGUGUCGCAUAUUCUAUCGCGAAUAUGCGGUGUCGAAA
rnacentral:rRNA from 1 species